rnacentral:rRNA from 1 species
GAUGAACGCUGGCGGCGUGCCUAAUACAUGCAAGUCGAACGCAUAGCGAAAGGUGCUUGCACCUUUCAAGUGAGUGGCGAACGGGUGAGUAACACGGGGACAACCUGCCUCAAGGCUGGGGAUAACAUUUGGAAACAGAUGCUAAUACCGAAUAAAACUUAGUGUCGCAUGACACAAAGUUAAAAGGCGCUUCGGCGUCACCUAGAGAUGGAUCCGCGGUGCAUUAGUUAGUUGGUGGGGUAAAGGCCUACCAAGACAAUGAUGCAUAGCCGAGUUGAGAGACUGAUCGGCCACAUUGGGACUGAGACACGGCCCAAACUCCUACGGGAGGCUGCAGUAGGGAAUCUUCCACAAUGGGCGAAAGCCUGAUGGAGCAACGCCGCGUGAGUGAUGAAGGAUUUCGGGUCGUAAAGCACUGUUGUAUGGGAAGAACAGAUAGAAUAGGAAAUGAUUUUAGUUUGACGGUACCAUACCAGAAAGAGACGGCUAAAUACGUG